CGGGAGGAGCUUUGCUUAUCUCACCCUAAGACGGGAAUCGGCACCAGCUCGUGCUCCCCCAUGGUGGCUUUUCUUGCUGAUUUUCAGCGGACAGAAAAGCCCACUGCCAUCCACCAUCAAGUCUGAAGCAAAGAAGAAGAAAGGUCUAAGCCGCUGGCCUGCUCGCCCCCUCCCAGAGCCUGGGGUGCUUCUCCAGAGGUGCCCAAUGCCAUGGUGAAGAGUGAGGCUCUGCCAGACACAGCUCCCAUGCAGGGCCAAGGGCGAGGCUACCCCCUGGACACAGGGCGAGAAACAGGGUCCGCGGGCAGGGGGCCUCCCUGAGCUGUGGGAAGUGUGCCUGGGACUCGGCCCAGACAGGG
rnacentral:sRNA from 1 species